UACGUAGGUGGCAAGCGUUGUCCGGAAUUAUUGGGCGUAAAGCGCGCGCAGGCGGUCCUUUAAGUCUGAUGUGAAAGCCCACGGCUCAACCGUGGAGGGUCAUUGGAAACUGGGGGACUUGAGUGCAGAAGAGGAGAGUGGAAUUCCACGUGCAGCGGUGAAAUGCGUAGAGAUGUGGAGGAACACCAGUGGCGAAGGCGACUUCCUGGCCUGUUCUUGACGCUGAGGCGCGAAAGCUAGGGUAGCAAACGGG
rnacentral:rRNA from 1 species